rnacentral:rRNA from 1 species
CCUACGGGUGGCGGCAGUGGGGAAUAUUGGGCAAUGGGGGAAACCCUGACCCAGCAACGCCGCGUGAAGGAAGAAGGUCUUCGGAUUGUAAACUUCUUUGACGAGGGACGAAACAAAUGACGGUACCUCGAAAACAAGCCACGGCUAACUACGUGCCAGCAGCCCCGGUC